GAUGAACGCUAGCGGCAGGCUUAACACAUGCAAGUCGAGGGGUAUAGUUCUUCGGAGCUAGAGACCGGCGCACGGGUGCGUAACGCGUAUGCAAUCUACCUUUUGCAGAGGGAUAGCCCAGAGAAAUUUGGAUUAAUACCUCAUGGUAUGUGAGAAUGGCAUCAUUUUCACAUUAAAGUCACAACGGCAAAAGAUGAGCAUGCGUCCCAUUAGCUAGUUGGUAAGGUAACGGCUUACCAAGGCAACGAUGGGUAGGGGUCCUGAGAGGGGGAUCCCCCACACGGGUACUGAGACACGGACCAGACUCCUACGGGAGGCAGCAGUGAGGAAUAUUGGACAAUGGGCGCAAGCCUGAUCCAGCCAUGCCGCGUGCAGGAUGACGGUCCUAUGGAUUGUAAACUGCUUUUGUACAGGAAGAAACACUGGUUCGUGAACCAGCUUGACGGUACUGUAAGAAUAAGGAUCGGCUAACUCCGUGCCAGCCGCCGCAGUAAAAC
rnacentral:rRNA from 1 species